rnacentral:rRNA from 1 species
GGUUCAUUCAAAUUUCUGCCCUAUCAACUUUCGACGGCUGGGUCUUGGCCGGCCAUGGUGACAACGGGUAACGGAGGGUUAGGGCUCGACCCCGGAGAAGGAGCCUGAGAAACGGCUACUACAUCCAAGGAAGGCAGCAGGCGCGCAAAUUACCCAAUCCCGACCGGGGAGGUAGUGACAAUAAAUACUGAUACAGGGCUCUUUUGGGUCUUGUAAUUGGAAUGAGUACAAUUUAAAUCCCUUAACGAGGAACAAUUGGAGGGCAAGUCUGGUGCCAGCAGCCGCGGUAAUUCCAGCUCCAAUAGCGUAUAUUAAAGUUGUUGCGGUUAAAAAGCUCGUAGUUG